rnacentral:rRNA from 1 species
CAUGCAGGCGGUUUAUCAAGUAGGAUGUGAAAUCCCCGGGCUCAACCUGGGAACAGCAUACUAAACUGGUGGACUAGAGUAUUGCAGGGGGAGACGGAAUUCCAGGUGUAGCGGUGGAAUGCGUAGAUAUCUGGAAGAACACCAAAGGCGAAGGCAGUCUCCUGGGCAAAUACUGACGCUCAUAUGCGAAAGCGUGGUAGCAAACA